AUUGAACGCUGGCGGCAUGCCUUACACAUGCAAGUCGAGCGGCAGCGCGGGGGCAACCCUGGCGGCGAGCGGCGGACGGGUGAGUAAUACAUCGGAACGUGUCCUUUCGUGGGGGAUAACCAGUCGAAAGACUGGCUAAUACCGCAUGAGAUCUCACGAUGAAAGCGGGGGACCGCAAGGCCUCGCGCGAUUGGAGCGGCCGAUGUCGGAUUAGCUAGUUGGCGGGGUAAGAGCCCACCAAGGCGACGAUCCGUAGCUGGUUUGAGAGAACGACCAGCCAAGCUGGGACUGAGACACGGCCCAGACUCCUACGGGAGGCAGCAGUGGGGAAUUUUGGACAAUGGGGGCAACCCUGAUCCAGACAUGCCGCGUGUGUGAAGAAGGCCUUCGGGUUGUAAAGCACUUUCGGCCGGAACGAAAUCGCGCGGAUUAAUAACCCGCGUGGAUGACGGUACCGGAAGAAGAAGCACCGGCUAACUACGUGCCAGCAGCCGCCGUAA
rnacentral:rRNA from 1 species